UCCAGACUCCUACGGGAGGCAGCAGUGGGGAAUAUUGCACAAUGGGGGAAACCCUGAUGCAGCAACGCCGCGUGAGUGAAGAAGUCAUCCGUGAUGUAAAGCUCUCUCAGCAGGGAAGAAAAUGACGGUACCUGAGUAAGAAGCCCCGGCUAACUACGUGCCAGCAGCCGCGGUAAUACGUAGGGGGCAAGCGUUAUCCGGAUUUACUGGGUGUAAAGGGAGCGUAGACGGCCAGACAAGUCUGAAGUGAAAAUCCAGCGCUUAACGUUGGAAGUGCUUUGGAAACUGCCGGGCUGGAGUGCAGGAGGGGCAGGCGGAAUUCCUAGUGUAGCGGUGAAAUGCGUAGAUAUUAGGAGGAACACCAGUGGCGAAGGCGGCUUGCUGGGCUUUUACUGACGCUGAGGCUCGAAAGUGUGGGGAGCAAACAGGAUUAGAUACCCUCGUAAUA
rnacentral:rRNA from 1 species